rnacentral:rRNA from 1 species
GGUUGAUCCUGCCGGACCCGACUGCUAUCAGAGUGGGACUAAGCCAUGCGAGUCGACGUAGCAAUGCGUGGCGAACGGCUCAGUAACACGUAGUCAACAUGCCCAGGGGACGUGGAUAACCUCGGGAAACUGAGAAUAAACCACGAUGGGUCACGAUUUCUGGAAUGGAUCAUGGCCUAAAUCUACAUGGCCCCUGGAUUGGACUGCGGCCGAUCAGGCUGUUGGUGAGGUAAUGGCCCACCAAACCUAUAACCGGUACGGGCUCUGAGAGGAGAAGCCCGGAGAUGGGCACUGAGACAAGGGCCCAGGCCCUAUGGGGCGCAGCAGGCGCGAAACCUCUGCAAUAGGCGAAAGCCUGACAGGGUUACUCUGAGUGAUUUCCGCUAAGGGGAUCUUUUGGCACCUCUAAAAAUGGUGCAGAAUAAGGGGUGGGCAAGUCUGGUGUCAGCCGCCGCGGUAAUACCAGCACCCCGAGUGGUCGGGACGAUUAUUGGGCCUAAAGCAUCCGUAGCCGGUUCUGCAAGUCUUCCGUUAAAUCCAGCCGCUCAACGGAUGGGCCGCGGAGGAUACUACAGGACUAGGAGGCGGGAGAGGCAAGCGGUACUCAGUGGGUAGGGGUAAAAUCCUUUGAUCCAUUGAAGACCACCAGUGGCGAAGGCGGCUUGCCAGAAUGCGCUCGACGGUGAGGGAUGAAAGCUGGGGGAGCAAACCGGAUUAGAUACCCGGGUAGUCCCAGCCGUAAACGAUGCAGACUCGGUGAUGGGUUGGCUUCGCGCUAACCCAGUGCCGCAGGGAAGCCGUUAAGUCUGCCGCCUGGGUAGUACGGUCGCAAGACUGAAACUUAAAGGAAUUGGCGGGGGAGCA